rnacentral:rRNA from 1 species
UUUUAUCAGAGAGUUUGAUCCUGGCUCAGGAUGAACGCUGGCGGCGUGCUUAACACAUGCAAGUCGAGCGAAGCAGUUAAGAAGAUUCUUCGGAUGAAACUUGAUUGACUGAGCGGCGGACGGGUGAGUAACGCGUGGGUGACCUGCCCCAUACCGGGGGAUAACAGCUGGAAACGGCUGCUAAUACCGCAUAAGCGCACAGAGCUGCAUGGCUCAGUGUGAAAAACUCCGGUGGUAUGGGAUGGGCCCGCGUCUGAUUAGGCAGUUGGCGG